rnacentral:misc_RNA from 1 species
AAAGAUACAAUUUGUUAGACUUGAAAACAAAGCAAUAAAGGCAUUAAUAGCAAACAAAGGGAGAGCAUCAUGAUUUUAUAACUUUCAUAUGCAGACACAAUUGCUUCCAAAUAAUUCAAAUGCUAAGAAAGAAGUAAAUAUUUUCCCUUCUGAUAAUUAUUAUUAUAGCCAUAAAAUGUAUACCAAAUCAAGACUCAACAUCACAAAUAGACAUAAAACUCUUCCAGCCUAGAAUUUGAAAUAAAUUCUUAAUGUUAGAAUUUAUGCCUGCAUGCGUGCAUAAGUGGGUGCAGAAGGCCUAUGAGCAAGCAGCAGUAUGAUAACAAGAUUAAUUACAUUCAUGUGACUGGAGCUCAAACCAUAUAUCUUAGAUAUGUAAUUCAAGCACUUGAGUUUCAAGAACUUGAGUUUUAACCUUCUGACAUCAAUAUUAACUGUGUUUGUAUCAUUAUGCAUAACUAUAUGGUUACUCUUUGUUGACCAA